rnacentral:lncRNA from 1 species
CAAGAUUAAAUAAGAGGUAUUGCAUACGGGAAUGAUAUAUAAAAUGAAAGGUUGGAAACAGAGCUGGAGAUGAGCGCUAGCCAGAACGAAAUGGACAUAUGAGCGAUCGAUUACGAGAGCUCGACCGAUCAGACCGGGAAGAAGAGAAAGAAAGGUCAAUCUCCGAAAGGCCUUCGCAGAGCUGAGCUUUAGGGGGGAAUACUUUUUGUGGUCUUGCACAUGGAAAAGUCAAGUAUUCUACGCAGGCUUGAUUUACCGGAAUUUUUGCUUCAAAGAAUGCUUUCAAGCUAGGAAUUAAAGCACGGAUAGCUUUAUUUGACAAUUAGCUGGAAGUCGGGUAUGCCUAUUCAACAUAAACUAAGGCGCUGGGUAGAUCGUAGAUUGCCGAAAUGAGCGCUAGCCAGAACGAAAUGGAUAUAUGAGCGAUCGAGAGCUCGACCGAUCAGACCGGGAAGAAGAGAAAGAAAGGUCAAUCUCCGAAAGGCCUUCGCAGAGCUGAGCUUUAGGGGGGAAUACUUUUUGUGGUCUUGCACAUGGAAAAGUCAAGUAUUCUACGCAGGCUUGAUUUACCGGAAUUUUUGCUUCAAAGAAUGCUUUCAAGCUAGGAAUUAAAGCACGGAUAGCUUUAUUUGACAAUUAGCUGGAAGUCGGGUAUGCCUAUUCAACAUAAAGUAAGGCGCGGGGUAGAUCGUAGAUUGCCGGGUAUGAAUUCGAUUCUAAGUCGGAGAAUGCCCAUGAAUAGGGUCUUAUUACAGAAUCCGCAGUUUUGAAAGUAGCCCUAGACAGAUCAUUGCUAAGAGGAGAGCAGGGAAUUUCUUGCUAAUCAGGUGCUAUCAUCGUAUUAUAAUGAUUAUUCCGACGUCAGAGCAGACGGGACUACCAAUCCCAGAGUGAAUUAACCUUGUCUGCACUACCACCUUAGUUUACUAGACCUUGGGGAAUUGGCUAGUUACCUUCACUCCGCGUGGCAGCCUACCUACGUUUUGUCUUUUUCCUA